UAUAUUAGGUACUUAGGACACACAAUCCAUCUAGGUAGGUCCAAUUUCUAGAAAGAAGUUAGCCGCCGAGUCCAACUCGG